UACGGAGGAUCCGAGCGUUAUCCGGAUUUAUUGGGUUUAAAGGGUGCGUAGGCGGCCUAUUAAGUCAGGGGUGAAGUACGGUGGCUCAACCAUCGCAGUGCCUUUGAUACUGAUGGGCUUGAAUCCAUUUGAAGUGGGCGGAAUAAGACAAGUAGCGGUGAAAUGCAUAGAUAUGUCUUAGAACUCCGAUUGCGAAGGCAGCUCACUAAGCUGGUAUUGACGCUGAUGCACGAAAGCGUGGGGAUCGAACAGG
rnacentral:rRNA from 1 species